AAGAUUUUACUAGGCUUCGGCCAGAGAUGUACAGCCAUGAUCGUUUCGACGGUGCAUGGUACGGGUGCUCUGUAUCGCUAACACGGUACGGAGGGCCCUUCUUUAAUUUCCACACCAAGCUACGGAGAGCGUGACUUAUGUCUGCUUGUCCGGAAGGGAUGGAUGGUUUCGACCAUCUUUCCCGACCCAUUUCCAAACACUUAACUAUUUUGAAUGUUCAACCUAUUGUCUUCGGACAUGAAUAAUAUACAACUUUUGACAACGGAUCUCUUGGUUCUCCCAUCGAUGAAGAACGCAGCGAAUUGCGAUAAGUAAUGUGAAUUGCAGAAUUCAGUGAAUCAUCGAAUCUUUGAACGCACCUUGCGCCCUUGGGUAUUCUCAAGGGCAUGCCUGUUUGAGUGUCAUAACAAUCUCAUCUCUCAACCUUUUUGCAAAAGGAGGUUGCUUGGAGAUGGUGAUGGGUGUUUUGCCUGGCUCUACCAGUCUGGCUCGCCUGAAAGACAUCAGUAGCUCUUAUUGAGUCCGGUCUGACUAUGUGUGAUAAUUUGAUCGCAUAGGAUGUGCUUGCACAACCGGAUCUCACUGCUAAGAGUCUGCUUCUAACCUGGAAUGGCCAGAGAGAAAUUUUCUGCCAUCGACAGCUUUUAUUUGUCUGACCUCAAAUCAGGUAGGACUACCCGCUGAACUUAAGCAUAUCAAUAAGCGGAGGAGAAAAAACUAACAAGGAUUCCCCUAGUAACGGCGAGUGAAGCGGGAUGAGCUCAAAU
rnacentral:rRNA from 1 species